rnacentral:lncRNA from 1 species
CUUCAUAGUCUUGCUACAUGUUCCUUCCUUUCUGCAGUUACGUUCAAUAAAAAGAUGCUCUCUCUGUCCGUUGUUUUUUGGUCAGAGCUGAAGAACAGAUUUUGGAAAGAAAGCUGUGUGGGCCUCAUGGUUUCAGUCCAUCCUGAAGGUUGAUUGAAUGAGAAGAAGGAGGCUUGUGAAAUUCCAAUCCUGGGCCUUUCUCCCUUUGGACAGCCAGGAAGUCUAAGAAUACGCACUAAGUUUUCCCAACAAAGACCUUGGGAGCUGCUCCCGGCUCCUCAGGCAGGCCUUGUGGACAAGUGCCAUCUGCGUCCCGGUGCCAGGGCUUCUUGUGAGCCUCUCACAUGCAGGCAUGGAGGAGAUGACAGCAGAGUUGACAGCCUGGUGCUCCUGAGCCUGGGAUCCAGUUUGGGAGACAGACUGAUAAUCAGGGUGGGGCCACACAGCAGACCUUCGUAUAACAGAGUUGUUGAAUCAUCAAGGCAACCAUGGUGUGGUCCUGCUUGGAGAGACUGAAAUCCAACAGUCGGAGCCUUGUCCCACAUCACAGAGGAG